UUAAUUGAAACCAAAAAGAGGUAUAUCAUUGUUAAUGAUAAAAAUGUAUUUUAUACCAAUUAAG
rnacentral:tRNA from 1 species